GACACACAUUCAUCACCAGUGGAGAUAUGAGCAGCUGCAGAUUUCCUUCCCUUGUUGUAAUUUAUGUUUUGAGGAAACCCAUGGAUCUUGUAGCACUUUUCAAUUAAGUGCCCAGAUUUCUUGCAGUAUCUGCAAACUAAGGACCCUCUGCUUUGCUCAAAAUUAAUUCUUGGUCUGAAAAUAGGAGGUCUAGGCACUGUGGCCUGAUUAGACCCAAGUGAGUGCUUGUUUGCAUGAGCAUUAAAAGACAUAGAGUCUGGACUGAUUUGAGAAAUAGAUUGAACUUGUCUCUGUUUCUCAUCAUUAAGCACUAU
rnacentral:lncRNA from 1 species